GGGGGUGUAGCUCAAUUGGGAGAGCGCAUGCUUUGCACGCAUGAGGUAGUCGGUUCGAACCCGACCAUCUCCACCA
rnacentral:tRNA from 1 species